UGACCAAGAUGUCACUAGCUGUUGGGGCCUUCGGGCCUUAUUAUCGCACCUACGCGUGAAGUUGACCGCCUGGGGAGUACGGUCGCAAGAUUAAAACUCAAAGGAAUUGACGGGGACCCGCACAAGCGGUGGAUGAUGUGGAUUAAUUCUAUGCAACGCGAAAAACCUUACCUACCCUUGACAUGUCUGGAAUCCCGAAGAGAUUUGGGAGUGCUCGCAAGAGAACCGGAACACAGGUGCUGCAUGGCUGUCGUCAGCUCGUGUCGUGAGAUGUUGGGUUAAGUCCCGCAACGAGCGCAACCCUUGUCAUUAGUUGCUACGAAAGGGCACUCUAAUGAGACUGCCGGUGACAAACCGGAGGAAAGUGGGGAUGACAUCAAGUCCUCAUGGCCCUUAUGGGUAGGGCUUCACACGUCAUACAAUGGUCGGGACAGAGGGUCGCCAACCCGCACGGGGGAGCCAAUCCCAUAAACCCGAUCGUAGUCCGGAUUGCAGUCUGCAACUCGACUGCAUGAAGUCAGAAUCGCUACUAAUCGCGGAUCAGCAUGUCGCGGUGAAUACAUUCCCGGGUCUUGUACACACCGCCCGUCACACCAUGGGAGUGGGUUUUACCAGAAGUAGUUAGCCUAACCGCACGGGGGGCGAUUACC
rnacentral:rRNA from 1 species